GGUUGUGCUCCGCAACCAAGCCAGCCAGCCAGCCAGCCUCUCGACCGCUCGUUCGCCAGUCCACUCUCGUGUCCUUUCUCUACCUCAGCCGUUGCAUCGCAGCCCCAGCCUGCUCUUCUUCCUCCCCCUUACCAAACUCUCCGUAGUGCCGUGGUUAAUCAGUGUGCAGCAAUGGCCGUGGCCUCCAUGCUUCAUGCGCCGUCUCUCCUGGCAGUCCAACCCUUCGGCGGACAGAGGAAUGCUGCCAGCGCUAACCGCUCACCGAGAGCGGCGGCUUUCAGGGUUCAGGCAGCCAAGCUUCCUGCCGGAGUCCAGGUGCCAAAGGCGCAACCCAAGCUGAGUGAGCCGUUCCUGGGGUUCACCAAGACCGCGGAGGUGUGGAACUCCAGGGCCUGCAUGAUGGGCCUCAUCGGGACCUUCAUCGUGGAGCUGAUAUUGAACAAAGGUGUUCUUGAGAUAAUCGGUUUCGAAGUGGGGAAAGGCCUCGAUAUUCCUUUGUAGUCUGCUCUCCCUCCUUGCCUAUGGGAUAUUGAUACUAAGAGCCACAUGAAAAGAUGAUAGUCUGCUGUUUUUCAAAGCGAAUGGUUUGGGGGCGACUGAAGUGUCAAACCUGUUGGAUAUUUAUUGCGGGGCGUCUGGUCAGAUGUAGGCUCAUCUGCAACUGGAGCCUUCAAAUAUUUAAAGGAUAGACUUUGGAACCAGGUUAAAGGAUGGAUUG